GGGGGGGCGGAGCGGGGGCCGCGCUCAGCCGGGGCCGCCGCCGUCUGCGGAGGGGCCCGGGCGGCGCGGGGGCUGCGGAACGAGGAGUUCGCAGUGUUUCCCGUGCGAGGAGAAGUCCUGGAGCUGGAAUCGCUCACAUAACCCUUAAGGAUGAAGGCAGCAGAUGAGCCUGCCUACCUGACAGUGGGGACUGAUGUCAGUGCCAAGUACCGUGGUGCCUUCUGCGAGGCAAAGAUUAAGACGGUGAAAAGGCUUGUGAAAGUCAAGGUGGUCUUGAAGGGGGAUAACUCAACUCAGUUAGUGCAAGAUGACCAAGUCAAAGGACCUCUAAGAGUUGGAGCAAUGGUUGAAACCAAAAUGCCCGAUGGAUCUUUUCAGGAAGCAGUGAUCAGCAAGCUGACAGAUGCCAGUUGGUACACUGUAGUUUUUGAUGACGGUGAUGAAAGGACCUUGAGACGAACUUCAUUAUGCUUGAAGGGAGAAAGGCACUUUGCAGAAAGUGAGACACUUGAUCAACUGCCACUAACCAAUCCAGAGCACUUUGGAACUCCAGUUAUUGGGAAGAAAUCUAAUAGAGGGAGAAGAUCUUCUCUUCCUGUUACUGAAGAUGAAAAGGAAGAAGAAAGUAGUGAAGAAGAGGAUGAAGAUAAGAGGCGCCUCAACGAUGAAUUGCUUGGCAAGGUUGUGAGUGUGACUUGUAAUGCAGAGAAGGCAGACUGGUACCCAGCUUUGGUUGUGUCGCCAAGCUGCAAUGACGACGUCACUGUGAAAAAGGACCAGUGUUUAGUUCGAUCCUUUGCAGAUUCCAAAUUUUACUCAAUAGCAAGAAAAGACAUUAAGGAGCUAGAUCUUCAAAACUUACCAAAAUCAGAGUCUUCUCCUAAAAAAGGGCUACAGGAAGCAACCACAUUUCUCAGCACCAGGGGUGUUCCUCGGAACUGGAAAAUGGACAUCAGUGAAAUUCUGGAGUCCUCUAGCAGUGAUGAGGAGGAUGGAGCUGCUGCAGAAACUGAUGAGGAGGAACAAAAACGAGAAGAGAAAACGGAAGAAGUAGCGCCUGAGGAAGAGCUUGAUCCUGAAGAGAGGGACAACUUCCUCCAACAGCUUUACAAGUUUAUGGAAGACAGAGGUACUCCUAUCAAUAAACCACCAGUUUUGGGCUACAAGGACCUUAAUCUCUUCAAACUUUUUAGGCUGGUUUAUCAGCAGGGUGGGUGUGACAAUAUUGAGAGUGGUGCUGUAUGGAAGCAAAUUUAUAUGGACCUUGGCAUUCCUAUUUUGAACUCGGCUGCUUCCUACAAUGUAAAAACUGCUUAUAGAAAGUAUCUUUAUGGUUUUGAAGAGUACUGCCGUUCUGCAAACAUUCAGUUCAGGACCAUCCAUCACAAUGAACCAAAAGUGGUAGAAGAUACACAGAAACACGUGGAACCAAUGGAGGAAAGUGUGAAAGAGGAACAAAAAAUGCCCCCAACAGAAGUUAAAAAAGAAGCAGAAGAAAAUUAUUCCAGCAGUGAAAGUGAGAAAGAAGAAAUUGAGCUAAGAUCCCCAAGGGGACGAAGAAGACUUGCCCGUGAUGCAGCCCCUGCUAAAAAAGAUGGUGAAGAGGAUAAAACCCAAGACAAAUUAAAAGACAGUAACAAAGAAAACAAAGAUAUAGAGGAAACACCUGAGAAUGCAGAAAAGAAAGAAAAUGAAACUCCACUAGGGAAGAAAAGCACACCAAAGCAAAAAGAGAAGAAAAUUAAAAAACAGGAGGAUUCUGAUAAAGAGUCAGAUGAUGAGGAAGAGAGGCAGAGGGAGAGGGAAGAAAUUGAGAACAAAGGAGAAUCAGAAGGUGAAGAGGAUGAGGAGGACACAGAACCCUGCCUGACAGGAACCAAAGUGAAAGUAAAAUAUGGACGUGGAAAGACUCAAAAAAUUUAUGAAGCCAGUAUUAAAAGCACAGAAAUUGAUGAUGGAGAGGUUUUAUACUUAGUUCAUUACUACGGUUGGAAUGUGAGGUAUGAUGAAUGGGUGAAAGCUGAUCGGAUUAUCUGGCCAGUGGAGAAAGGAGGACCAAAGAGAAAACAAAAGAAAAAAACAAAAUUUCCCCUGCAGAAUAAAGAAGAUGGUGAAAAGGAGGAGAAGAAGGACGAGGAGAAACAAAAAUCCAAGCGUGGGCGGCCCCCUCUGAAAUCCACUCUCCCAUCCAACACGACCUGCAGCCUCCCCAAAACGCCCAACAGCGAAGCAACACCUCGCAGGCAGACCAGACGUAGCUCAGGAAUGUUUGAUUCUGAUAGAGGAUCAAACGACUCUGGCACAUCUGACAGUGAAGCAGAUGAAUCAUCUGAAAAGAAUUUGAAUGAAGAAUUUUCUCCAGAAACUUCAGAACUGGAAAAAAGUGAAAAACUCCAUGAUGAGAAGCUGGAUGAGGAAAACCCAAAGAUUUCUCAUGCGCUGAAGGAAAACGACAGGACUCAAGUACAGCCACUAGAAACACUGAAACUGGAAGUUGAGGAAAGUGAACAAAUUGUUCAAAUAUUUGGGAAUAAAACGGAUCAAAUGGAAGAAAUCAAAAGAGAAGUUGAAAAAUCACCUAAGGGAAAAGGGAGAAGGAGCAAGACAAAAGAUCCCUCAUUGGAGAAUGCGAAGAUUGCACCAGGAAGCCAGGAAGAGGUGGCAAAUGAGUCUCUUACAGAACCUGAAAGAUUAGAUGUGUCUUCCUUGGACUGUAAAGACAUUUCCAGCACUACUGAAAGUGAAACAGAGCUCUCCACAAAAGAUAAGAAGCUUUUGAAAAGGAAAACUUUGGAACAGGCAUCACCUGAGAAGAGAAAUCGGCGAGAGAGUGAGAUGGAAGUGCCAAAUAUUGUAUCUGAAGAGAGGACCAAUGAAUGUACUGGAGCAGAGGAAUGUAGAGGGCUGAGUGCUGAGGAGUCACUCAGAACUGAAAAUGAGGAGAUGCCAUCCCUGGUGGCGGAAUCGGUUCCACAUGGUCCGGAACUGAGGAAUGACAACUUCCAGCGUCCGGCCGAAGCCAGCGAGAGCGUUCCCUUGAAAGAUGAGGAUGACACAAUGCCUCAGAUUGGUCCUGAAACCUUGCUGUGCCAUGAAGUAGACCUGGAUGACUUGGAUGAGAAGGAGAAGAGCAGCAGUGAAGACACAACAGCAGAAAAAAAUCCAGACCCCAAUGCUUCCAACUCAGCCCCCUCUGCCUUAGCCCCCGCCGUGCCCUCGAGCUUCCCGGUGGCCUCUCCUCUGGCCCUCAGCCAGGACGAGUCGCGCAGCAUCAAGAGCGAGAGUGACAUGACCAUCGAGGUGGACAGUGUGGCAGAAGAGUCUCAAGAAGCGCUCUGUGAGAGCGAGUCUGCCAAUGGAUUCGAAGCCAGUACCACGUCGAGCAAUUGCAGCAUGGCCGGGCAGGAGAGGGAGGUGGGAGAGAAAGGUCAAAAAAGACCCAGUGACAGCAAUAGUGGAACACUGGCAAAAAAGCAAAAGCGAACUCCAAAGCGAACCAGUGCUGCAGCCAAAAAUGAAAAGAAUGGAACAGGGCAAAGCAGUGACAGUGAAGAUCUCCCUGUCCUGGACAGUUCCAGUAAAUGUACUCCUGUCAAACACAUCAAUGCAUCCAAACCACAGAAGAUUUCCCGCUCCCCUGCCAGAGUGAUUUCUCCUCACAUCAAAGAUGGAGAGAAGGACAAACACAGGGACAAGCACCACCACCAGAAUGCUUCACCCAGAGUGUACAAAUGGAGCUUCCAGCUCAAUGAACUGGACAAUAUGAGCAGCACUGAAAGGAUCUCCUUCCUGCAAGAAAAACUCCAGGAGAUACGAAAAUACUACAUGUCCUUGAAGUCAGAAGUAGCAACCAUAGACAGGAGAAGGAAACGAUUAAAAAAGAAAGACAGAGAAGUGUCCCAUACAGGAGCAUCCAUGUCAUCUGCUUCCUCAGACACUGGAAUGAGCCCCUCGUCAUCCUCUCCUCCCCAGAACGUGCUGGCCGUGGAAUGCAGGUGAUAAACAUUUCUCUGCCUUGCCAGCAGCUCGCUGCCAUGGACAUAAACCCUGAAAUUCAGCCACAGAAAGCACUCAACUGGUUGGACGUUGCCAAGUAUAUCCUGUACACACUUCCACUGCUGGACUGUACCUGUUCCCCCCUCCUACCCUCUUCUUUUGUUUAAUUUACUGUUCAGAGAACUUAAGCUCAUUGGUAACUGAAGGUUUGUAGGCACAACGUGGCAUCCUUGUCAUUGUGUUUGUUUUUGUUUCUUGUUUGUUUCUUUUUGUUUUGUUUUGUUUUAUUUUUUUUUUCCUAACACAGAGAAAGGGCACUUAUCAAAUUUGCAAAGUUAUGUCCAAUGAAGCAUUCAGGUGUUCUAGGGUGAUCUUAAAAUAAAAAAAAAAAAAAAAAAGCAAGUGCACCAAGCAGACAUCAGAGUAUUAUCCAAAAGAACUGAGUAACUGCUGCACUUUCACCGAGCUGUGGGUAACUCUUGGUGAGUAGUUCCUCUUUGUGGAAGCACUUGCUAUACAGAACUGCCAAAGUAUGUGUUCAGCAAUGUGCCCAGUUUUAAAGUUGUAAAUGGGACAAAAUAAAUUGUGAAAGGAAGUGUAGUUGACUGAAAACUACAGUUGUAAUAAGUCUUCCACUUUUUAUAGGAUUUUUGAGCACACAAUUAUGCAAAUGUUUUAAUGUUUAUUAAUGUUUACAGUGGAAUUGUGAAUAGGUUUUCAGUGGACUAUCUUAUCCCUUGACAAAAAUAUUUUGUCUUUUUUCUAUGUAAUUUCAGAGUUUUUAUUUUGUUACAAAAAAGACGAAAAAUGAAAUAUAUAACAACAAUGAAGUUAUUUAACAAGAUUUCUAAAGCUGAAAUUUUUGUGUAAAAUAAGGUAUCUUGCAACUUGUUAAAUAUAUUUAUUCAGACAUUGGAUGUUGUAUUUUUAUGUAUUUUUUAAAAUAUUAAUAAAAUUGGAAAAAAAAAAUAAAAUUCUAGGUUAGUUCACUCUUUGGACAAAACAUCCUUAUCAGUUCUGGCUCUUCAGGAGGAGUUAUCCAGUAGCCAAACCUGUACUUCCAAUGGGUCUGUCUACAUAUCCUCCACCACACAGAUCUGCCAGCAGGCAUCUGGGUUAAAAUAAAACUUUAUUUGGAAACUUUGGCAGUCCUAGUACUUAAACUUGUUUGGAGGAACAAAAUUUAUUGGGUUGCCCUUAAGAUGCUUUGUCACAAGUUCUUGUGUUUGCUGUACUGCCGAAUAAAUUUAUAUCUCCCAAAGUUGAGAUGCACCAAUAAAGUAAACGCGACUGUGUGUGCUCUGCCUGUGGAUUGUCCCACGGGCAGAUGCAGUUUGUAAAUAGCUCUUCCAAACCCAUGUAUUUAAAGCAGUUUGCAUAUACAUUAUGUAUAAAAAGUGAUUUUUUAAACAAUUUUUUUAUUCAUGUUUGUACAUUGAAAGGGGGCCUGAGCCCCUUUUUCUGUGUUUAAUAUGCUGUAGAGUAAUAACAUAGAUGCUCUAGACUGUAUAUCAGGAUAUUCUGGUUCCACACGGCAGAAGGUCAGGAGGAAACACUAGUGAUGGCGUAGCAUUACUAAAAUUGAUGUUUCUUGAAAUUUCAUUUUACAACAUUUGUCAACUUGUGAUUCCAAUUCCUUCCAUUUUCGCAGAAAAUUAAAGAAAAAGUACUCUUGUAAAUGCACUUUUUCUGUCUUUUCUUAAGCAAAGCAGAACUAUUUCAAUGUAAGAUAAAUAUGGAGCUCACUAGACAGCGCUAAUAAAGGCCAUGUUUUAAACAUAGGCUUUAUAUUCUAUUUUUAUUUAAGUGAUUGUUCUUGUAAAUGUCUGGACUUUACCCUAAAUAGGAAAGUUAAUCUCCAUAAAUUACUGUAAAGACUUUUUGCAGAUCUAACUUUUACUUGUUAAUCUUCUAACAGCUACGAAUAAAAAGCAAUACUCAUUUAAAAGGAAGUAACAUGGGUCACAUGUUUAAUAUUUGCAGAAGCAAUCUAAAAUCUGGGGAAAUAACAGGAUUAAUGACAUCUUGUGCAGAUCUCUGAUAUCUAACCUGUGUGCACACUCUGAGAUCUUAAACAGGCACUGAGGUGCUCCCAGCACAGAGGAUGGAGGAGCUGCUGCCCUGGCCUGGAUGUUCCCCACGUGUGUUCUCAGCUGACUGCUGCUUCUGUCUCUUAGGAAUGUUUAAAACUCUGCUUGCAAGGCUCCAGGUAUGGUCCCAUGGAACAUGGAAACCUAUCCCAGCCCAUUGACAGGGAGAACUUCCUCCUUGCUUCCUCUUUCACCUGCUUCCCUUGCACUGCUCACCCCCAAAAGAGUUGGUGUUACUCUGGCACUAAACUGGCAGGAAAAGGGGGACUCUGUGCCAAGCCACUGGCAAAGCCUCCAGCAGGUCACUGAUUUCCUGGUUUUAUCUUUCUGGGAAGGAGCAUAUCAGAUUAUUCAGUAGAAUUUUGCAGUAAUUUCCUAUGAUGUUAAAAAUAACACAGGGAAAAGAAAACUAGCUGGAAUCAUUGGGCUGUCCUGGGUUAAAGGUGAAAUCAAGAAGCCCUAAUAAAAUCUGUGACUUCUGACUCUACAGUAAUCCCCUUAUUGAAGCCUUGUUGAUAUAAAUUCCAAAUAUAUGUUGAUAUAAAUUCAUCCUGUCUAAGACACAGUAAUUAUGAUUAUAAAGAAUUGGGAUUUUUUAAAUAAGACGUUAGGUAUUGUGUUUCUGAGACCAAGCAGAAAUAAAGCACCAUUCUUGGCUGUAUUUGUGCUGUUCUUCUGCCUUCUGAUCUCCUACAGGUUUUCCUCAAAAUUAUACUUAUUUCAAGUUUCCUUAGGAGGUGAAAAAACCCAAAAAAUAUGGGAUCCAAUGCUGUUAAAAAGAACAAUGUUGUAAAAGAAUCAGACUCUUACUUCAUUUCUUGCAAUUGAUACAAAGAACUGUCAGAUUGCUGGCAGAUACCUUAUUUUUGUAUUAACAAAAAUCUGAAAGAUGGAAAACCUUGGAAUGUUUCCAUGCAAGGACAUAAGAGGUUAAACAGAUCUUCAGUAGUAAUUAUCAGUGAAUGAAAAGCAUAACAAGGGCAAAGAAAUGUGUGUCUUCAUGAAGGAUGGAUGUAUCUGACCUUCACAGGGAGCAGCAGAAAAGGUGAUUCAAUCACUGUUUCUGCUGUUGUGCAUGCUUCAGUCUAAUUUUUUAAAAGGUGCAGUAUUCAAAUAGACAGAAUUUUUUUAAAAAAUAUUCUC